ACGAUGGGGAUGCGUUCCAUUAGAUAGUAGGCGGGGUAACGGCCCACCUAGUCUUCGAUGGAUAGGGGUUCUGAGAGGAAGGUCCCCCACAUUGGAACUGAGACACGGUCCAAACUCCUACGGGAGGCAGCAGUGAGGAAUAUUGGUCAAUGGGCGAGAGCCUGAACCAGCCAAGUAGCGUGAAGGAUGACUGCCCUAUGGGUUGUAAACUUCUUUUAUAAAGGAAUAAAGUCGGGUAUGGAUACCCGUUUGCAUGUACUUUAUGAAUAAGGAUCGGCUAACUCCGUGCCAGCAGCCGCGGUAAUACGGAGGAUCCGAGCGUUAUCCGGAUUUAUUGGGUUUAAAGGGAGCGUAGAUGGAUGUUUAAGUCAGUUGUGAAAGUUUGCGGCUCAACCGUAAAAUUGCAGUUGAUACUGGAUAUCUUGAGUGCAGUUGAGGCAGGCGGAAUUCGUGGUGUAGCGGUGAAAUGCUUAGAUAUCACGAAGAACUCCGAUUGCGAAGGCAGCCUGCUAAGCUGCAACUGACAUUGAGGCUCGAAAGUGUGGGUAUC
rnacentral:rRNA from 1 species